UUUGUUAAGGUGUCACGCACAUAAAAAUUUGAUUUUUAAAGAGAUAGAUUUAUCUAACAAAU
rnacentral:tRNA from 1 species